GACGUAGGGCGCGAGCGUUGUCCGGAAUUACUGGGCGUAAAGCGCACGUAGGCGGCUUUGUAAGUUAGAGGUGAAAGCCCGGGGCUCAACCCCGGAAUUGCCUUUAAGACUGCAUCGCUUGAACGUCGGAGAGGUGAGUGGAAUUCCGAGUGUAGAGGUGAAAUUCGUAGAUAUUCGGAAGAACACCAGUGGCGAAGGCGGCUCACUGGACGACUGUUGACGCUGAGGUGCGAAAGCGUGGGGAGCAAACAGG
rnacentral:rRNA from 1 species